GAGAAUUUGCUGUUAUGCGCGGCCGUGUAGAACGAGAGAGGGUCAGAAGAGCCAAGAUGAAGCAGAGAGCAGAGACGACACCGGCGACCCGAGAGCAGCAAUUCGUCGGCGAUAUGCCUGGCUGAGCCAACGAGUCUCCGGCUGCCAAUCUCGCAACACUAAGAGCUCCGCCUUUCUUCU
ensembl:ncRNA K04G2.13 ncRNA